rnacentral:rRNA from 1 species
AUUGAACGCUGGCGGCAGGCCUAACACAUGCAAGUCGAGCGAGCGGCGGACGGGUGAGUAAUGUAUGGGGAUCUGCCUGAUGGAGGGGGAUAACUACUGGAAAAGGUAGCUAAUACCGCAUACACUCAGAUGUACACAUAGGUGAUUAGCUUGUAGGUAAGGUAACGGCUUACCUAGGCGACGAUCCCUAGCUGGUCUGAGAGGAUGAACAGCCACACUGGGACUGAGACACGGUCCAGACUCCUACGGGAGGCAGCAGUGGGGAAUAUUGCACAAUGGGCGCAAGCCUGAUGCAGCCAUGCCGCGUGUAUGAAGAAGGCCUUCGGGUUGUAAAGUACUUUCAGUCGGGAGGCGUUACCGACAGAAGAAGCACCGGCUAACUCCGUGCCAGCAGCCGCGGUAAUUC